rnacentral:rRNA from 1 species
CAACGAGCGCAACCCUUAAGCUUAGUUGCCAUCAUUAAGUUGGGCACUCUAAGUUGACUGCCGGUGACAAACCGGAGGAAGGUGGGGAUGACGUCAAAUCAUCAUGCCCCUUAUGAUUUGGGCUACACACGUGCUACAAUGGACAAUACAAAGGGCAGCGAAACCGCGAGGUCAAGCAAAUCCCAUAAAGUUGUUCUCAGUUCGGAUUGUAGUCUGCAACUCGACUACAUGAAGCUGGAAUCGCUAGUAAUCGUAGAUCAGCAUGCUACGGUGAAUACGUUCCCGGGUCUUGUACACACCGCCCGUCACACCACGAGAGUUUGUAACACCCGAAGCCGGUGGAGUAACCUUUUAGGAGCUAGCCGUCGAAGGUGGGACAAAUGAUUGGGGUGAAGUCGUAACAAGGUAGCCGUAUCUGAAGGUGCGGCUGGAUCACCUCCUUUCUAAGGA